AUGCUCGAUAUAAGGUCGGCAUCCCUACUAGUUCCCAGGCACGGCGCGGACACCACCGUGCACGCCCUCCGCGCGCUCGCAAUGGGAGUAAUCCACAUGGCGGACGACGAGACAGCCUCCAGGGCAUGUCCGCCGUCGCCUCCCGCCUCCAUCUGCGCAAUGAUCGGUGGCCACGGUGCACCUGGUAGUAUUGCAGCCAUGAGCGUCAGGCGAGUCGCUGCCGUUUCGGCCAUGAUCGACGAGGUCGCCCAGGGAAGGAGGAGGAAGACGACGAGGAAGCGGCGCAUGGGCAACUAUCGCUGCUACGAGGAGGUGUGCACGAUCGGCGGGGGCACGUUCGGCGAGGUCUUCAAGGCGCGGCACCGCGCCACCGGCCAGACCGUCGCCGUGAAGGCUCUCCGCUGCGAACGGUCCGACUCCAAACACGUCGUCGGCGAGCUCCUUCGGGAGGCCUGCAUCAUGGCGGCAUGCGGCGGCCACCCCUCCCUCGUCGCCCUGCGCGGCGUCGUGCGCACACCGCGCGACAUCAAGGGGCGCAGGGACUACUUCCUCGUCAUGGAAUUCGCCGGGCCAAGCCUGCGCAAGGUCCUCAACAAGCGAAUCCGUCUCGGUCGCCGGCUGUUCUCGGAAAGGGACGUGCGCUCCAUCGUGCGGCAGCUGCUAGCCGGCGCGGAGGCGAUGCACACGCACGGCAUCAUGCACCGCGACAUCAAGCCUGAGAACAUCCUCGUGGUCCAGAACGGCGGCAGCAUCGUCGUCAAGAUCGGAGACUACGGGGCGGCGAUGUCCACGGCCGAGCGGGACCCCGAGAAGUAUUGGGCUGCCGGGACUUGGGUGUACAGCGCGCCGGAGAUGCUGCUGGAGGAUCCCCGCUACGACACGCGCGUCGACCUGUGGUCCAUCGGCUGCGUGAUGGCGGAGCUCCUCACCGGGAACAAGCUGUUCCCAGGGGACGGCAUAGACGAGCUGCUCUACAAGAUCUUCGAUCUGCUCGGCACGCUAGGCGAGAGAGAGAGUCGGGGCCUGCCUUCAGUUCGCCGGGACACGAGGUACAGGCACAGCAAUGGCGAGCGCACCAACGGCUGCGCAAGCUAUUCCCCGAGAAGCUGCUGUCCAAGGAAGGGUUCCAGGUCCUCCAGGGGCUCCUCACGUGCAAUCCAUCCAGGCGGCUGGAUGCUGCCGCCGCGCUCCGGCUUCCGUGGUUCACCGUUCACCGACACCGGUGGCAUGCCGGUUGCCGCUGUUCCGGAGACUGGCGCCCCGACCGUUCGGUCUGGGACGAUUCCUGGCCGAACAAGUCGUUCGGUACCUGGUGAUCGAUCCGUCGAACGGGACGUCCUGUGCGACGCAUUUUGCGUCGACUAA
rnacentral:rRNA from 1 species